rnacentral:rRNA from 1 species
UACGUAGGGCGCAAGCGUUGUCCGGAAUUAUUGGGCGUAAAGAGCUCGUAGGCGGUUUGUCGCGUCUGCUGUGAAAACCUAAGGCUCAACCUUGGGCUUGCAGUGGGUACGGGCAGACUAGAGUGCGGUAGGGGUGACUGGAAUUCCUGGUGUAGCGGUGGAAUGCGCAGAUAUCAGGAGGAACACCGAUGGCGAAGGCAGGUCACCUGGGGCCGCAACUG